rnacentral:lncRNA from 1 species
GAGAGAGAGAGAGAUUGCUUUACCUAGAUGAGUUGCUCCAUCUAGUAUUCGAGUCUAUGUCAUUUAGCUGGAUUGGUCCAUCUGAUCCUUUGUGCUCCAUUAAUCGACGGAAGCUGAGAUUGCCAGUCCCAAGAGCAGAAUCUUCUUCGCCUGAGCCUUCUGAUUGGCCUUGAGAAUACAAAAUAUAUGCAAGAAGCACAUCGAGAAGAAGAUGAUAUUGCACUUAUUUGAAGAUGAUUUACCAAGGCUUGGUAGAAAAUUUCAACUGAUUUUUUAGGAAGCUCGUAAAAGAGUUAAAAUAGAGGGAGGGUGAGAUGAAAUAAAGAGAAACGCAGAAGGCUAAGCAAUACGAAUUACCUGAGGAAGCUGCAGGUUUGUCAGUGGAUUUAACAGUUCUAUACAUCUGUAGAGCCAGAGAGAAAGAAAUUAAAGGCCAUUAAAUAGAUAGAGGGAUAGAAAGACAGAUAUACUUAAA